CAGGAUCGAAAGACUCCUAUAACCCCUGUGAACUUACUACAAAUACGUUGCUUCGGCGGGUGCCCCGGGUCUCCCGGGGCGUUCAGCCCGCCGGCAGCCUUCAAAUUCUGUUUCUUUGCGUUGGCAUCUCGAGUAUACAAAAAUAAGUUA
rnacentral:misc_RNA from 1 species